GACAGAGGGUGCAAACGUUGUUCGGAAUUACUGGGCGUAAAGGGCUCGUAGGCGGUUUGUCGCGUCGGGAGUGAAAACCAGGUGCUUAACACCUGGCUUGCUUUCGAUACGGGCAGACUAGAGGUAUGCAGGGGAGAACGGAAUUCCUGGUGUAGCGGUGAAAUGCGCAGAUAUCAGGAGGAACACCGGUGGCGAAGGCGGACACGUCUGGGACGGUACUGACGGCUGAGACGCGAAAGCGUGGGGAGCAAACA
rnacentral:rRNA from 1 species